rnacentral:rRNA from 1 species
CCUACGGGAGGCAGCAGUGAGGAAUAUUGGUCAAUGGACGAGAGUCUGAACCAGCCACGUAGCGUGAAGGAUGACUGCCCUAUGGGUUGUAAACUUCUUUUAUAUGGGAAUAAAAUGUUCCACGUGUGGGUUUUUGUAUGUACCAUAUGAAUAAGGAUCGGCUAACUCCGUGCCAGCAGCCGAGGUAAUACGGAGGAUCCGAGCGUUAUCCGGAUUUAUUGGGUUUAAAGGGAGCGUAGGUGGAUUGUUAAGUCAGUUGUGAAAGUUUGCGGCUCAACCGUAAAAUUGCAGUUGAAACUGGCAGUCUUGAGUACAGUAGAGGUGGGCGGAAGUCGUGGUGUAGCGGUGAAAUGCUUAGAGAUCACGAAGAACUCCGAUUGCGAAGGCAGCUCACUGGACUGUAACUGACACUGAGGCUCGAAAGUGUGGGUAUCAAACAGGAUUAGAUACCCCUGUAGUC